rnacentral:rRNA from 1 species
GACGAACGCUGGCGGCGUGCUUAACACAUGCAAGUCGAACGGAAAGGCCCUGCUUUUGUGGGGUGCUCGAGUGGCGAACGGGUGAGUAACACGUGAGUAACCUGCCCUUGACUUUGGGAUAACUUCAGGAAACUGGGGCUAAUACCGGAUAGGAGCUCCUGCUGCAUGGUGGGGGUUGGAAAGUUUCGGCGGUUGGGGAUGGACUCGCGGCUUAUCAGCUUGUUGGUGGGGUAGUGGCUUACCAAGGCUUUGACGGGUAGCCGGCCUGAGAGGGUGACCGGCCACAUUGGGACUGAGAUACGGCCCAGACUCCUACGGGAGGCAGCAGUGGGGAAGAUUGCACAAGGGGCGGAAGCCUGAUGCAGCAACGCCGCGUGCGGGAUGACGGCCUUCGGGUUGUAAACCGCUUUCGCCUGUGACGAAGCGUGAGUGACGGUAAUGGGUAAAGAAGCACCGGCUAACUACGUGC